rnacentral:rRNA from 1 species
GAUGAACGCUGGCGGCGUGCUUAACACAUGCAAGUCGAACGAAGCAUUUGCGACAGAUUUUUUCGGAAUGAAGUUGCUUAUGACUGAGUGGCGGACGGGUGAGUAACGCGUGGGUAACCUGCCUUGUACUGGGGGAUAGCAGCUGGAAACGGCUGGUAAUACCGCAUAAGCGCACAAUGUUGCAUGACAUGGUGUGAAAAACUCCGGUGGUAUAAGAUGGACCCGCGUCUGAUUAGCUAGUUGGUGAGAUAACAGCCCACCAAGGCGACGAUCAGUAGCCGACCUGAGAGGGUGACCGGCCACAUUGGGACUGAGACACGGCCGAGACUCCUACGGGAGGCAGCAGUGGGGAAUAUUGCACAAUGGAGGAAACUCUGAUGCAGCGACGCCGCGUGAGUGAAGAAGUAAUUCGUUAUGUAAAGCUCUAUCAGCAGGGAAGAUAGUGACGGUACCUGACUAGGAAGCUCCGGCUAAAUACGUG